GACGAACGCUGGCGGCGUGCCUAAUACAUGCAAGUUGAGCGAUGAAGAUUGGUGCUUGCACCAAUUUGAAGAGCAGCGAACGGGUGAGUAACGCGUGGGGAAUCUGCCUUUGAGCGGGGGACAACAUUUGGAAACGAAUGCUAAUACCGCAUAAUAACUUUAAACAUAAGUUUUAAGUUUGAAAGAUGCAAUUGCAUCACUCAAAGAUGAUCCCGCGUUGUAUUAGCUAGUUGGUGAGGUAAAGGCUCACCAAGGCGAUGAUACAUAGCCGACCUGAGAGGGUGAUCGGCCACAUUGGGACCGAGACACGGCCCAAACUCCUACGGGAGGCAGCAGUAGGGAAUCUUCGGCAAUGGACGAAAGUCUGACCGAGCAACGCCGCGGGAGUGAAGAAGGUUUUCGGAUCGUAAAACUCUGUUGGUAGAGAAGAACGUUGGUGAGAGUGGAAAGCUCAUCAAGUGACGGUAACUACCCAGAAAGGGACGGCUAACUACGUG
rnacentral:rRNA from 1 species